AGGGAGGGAGGGAGGGAGGGGAGGCCGAGGAGGGCCCGGGCCUGGCCCACUCCCAGGCGGGCCUUCCUCUCUCGUUCUCUCCCUGGGAACACAGGCCACCACCGCUCUCUCUCUCUCUCUCUCUCUCUCUCUCUCUCUCUCUCUCUCUCAGCCAGGCCUGGGCAAGCUCCGGGCCUCCCUCCGGGGCGGGGUUUUGGACUCCAACUCCCAGAAGGCCUCCCCUCAGGCCCCGCAGGCCUCACCUUCACCUCCACCUCAAGACUGCGGAGAGAGAGAGAGAGAGAGAGAGAGAGAGAGCAAGGGACUGGGGAAGGGAGGUCAACAGACCAAGAGAAGGAAGGAAGGAAGGAAGGAAGGGCGCUCGGAAAGGGAGGGGCCCCCAGGGAUCAGCUGGCAUGGACAUUCACAACAGAGGGACAUGCAGACAAAGGGACAACAACAACAACAACAACAACAACAAGAUUUGUAUCCUGCCACCAUCUCCCCCAGAGGGGACUCGGCGUGGCUCACAGAAAGAUCCCAUACAAAACAGGAACAAUAUACAAGACAGCAAUCAACAAGAAGCCCUGCUUGACUCUCAAGCCAAAAGUGGGUGGUAGAAAUCACAUGGUACAAAAGCUGACUGGCACAACCUGGGGAUCCCAACCAGGCCCUGGAAAGACAGGCGCUUGGCUCCUCUGCUGCUGAAUUCACAGGCCCAGUGGGGAAGACAUCUCACCACGUUCAAACAGUGGACGUGGCUCUUCAUGAGACAUGCCGCACCGUCACAGGAUGUCUGCGCCCCACACCACUGGAGAAAUGAUACUGUUGAGUCCCUCUGGGGAGAGAGGGCAGUCUAGAAAUGAAAUGAGGAAAUGUGAUUUUUGGCUGAGAAUUUCGGAGUAGAGCCUGUGGAGGGAUUUCUUUCCCUUGAAAGAAAGAAUAGGAGGAAAAGCAUCUUGGAUACGGUUGGGUUCUUCACCAGAGUGGUUCCAACAUGGAGAGACCCAACUCACGUGGGCCUGAAGCAGGACCUGGGGGCAGUGGGGAAUCCUGGGAAAGAACCAGACAUGAGUCCCUGAGUGUGGACCUUGACAGAUCGGACACACAGCGCCAGCGCUUCAGGCAGUCCUCCUACCAAGAGGGUGAAGGACCCAGAGGGGUUUGCAGUCGUCUCCACGAUCUGUGCCGCCAGUGGCUGAAGCCAGAGCAGCACAACAAGGCCGAGGUGCUGGACCUGGUGACCCUGGAGCAGUUCCUGAGCAUCCUGCCCCCAGAGAUGGGGAGCUGGGUCCGAGAGUGUGGGGCAGAGACCUGUUCCCAGGCGGUGGCCCUGGCGGAAGGCUUCCUCCUGAGUCGGGCCGAGGACAAGGAGCAGGAAGGACAGGUGUGAGCAUUCCCUCUGGGUUUCACUAACCUGGGGACUGAUGGACAGGUUAAACGUACACCCUGCCUUUCUUCCAAGAUGGGACCGAUGUGGGGGAUAAGCAAGGCCCUGCUCCCUCGACCUCUCUCCCCACCUGCUCUGCCCCUCCAUCUCUACCCUCAGCUUGGUUGAUGCUCUGCUCAAGAUAGAACAUAGACAAUGAUGGGAGGGGGAGGGGGGCAUUGGUUCCAAACUAGGUUGCCAUCUCAGAGUUAUUCUUUCCAAAAAGGUCUAGAGGUCUGUGAUAUUUCUGAACUUUUCCCAAACUCCUUCUGGAAUGCUCUGUGCUCUUCCAGGCCCAUAAUAAUAACUCCAUGGAAGUCCCUGCACCAGAGGAAUCUCCACCAGACACCACCCAGAGUCUCAGGCAGAAGGAGCUGAAGCGGGAAGGAGACGGGGCUGCCGCCUUGCAGGGUGAGAAGGAACUCUUCUGGGAGUUUUGGGGGUUUGUGCCAGUGGAAAUCCCGCUUUGGGGGGAUGAUUGUACACCCACGGUUUGAGCUUCAGAAGGUGAAGUAUCAUUUGGCCUUGAGAUGGGUAUAUAUCUUAAACUCAUGUCCUUUGUGUGAUGUUUUAUGGACUUAAUAUGUAUUUUAUAGAAAGGCAGUUUUAAUGUAGAUCUUUUAUAGUUAUAUAUAUAUCUUUGUUGAAUUUUGACAAUGUUUGUGUUUUUAAAAUUAUGUUGUAACCUCCCUCGAACUGCAAGGAGAGGCGAGUAAGAAAUAAAAUUAUUAUUAUUAUUAUCAUUAUUAUUGUUAUUGUUAUAUGUACACAUUCAGUUGCUAGAGGUGUAACUUCAGUUUGAUUUGCAGUUUUCUUUCUUGCAAUAGGACUGAAAACGCAGCCUUCAGUGUCUUCCCAGGUGGGACCCUAAGCUGAGCCGAGCCCUGAAACUGAGCUGGAAGACAAACAGACGACAAAGAAUCACUUUAGUCAGUUGAACCACCAAGCCCAAUACUAGUUUCAUUCGAACAUCCUCACAGCACUGCUUGCGAGAUAAAGUCCUAAACCCUAACUCAUCGGUUUCUUUAUAGGACUGCAAUUGUCACCUCUGAGGCCUGUUUCUGUGACCAGCUUUCCACCCCUUGCUUUCUCUCCAGGGUCUGGAAUGAUGCUGUUGCCAAAUCCUCAGCCGUUUCUCCCCCUUUGCGAUGGAGUGGGACUGAGUCAGGUAAGCAGAAGGAUUCCUGGGAGAGGAGGACUGGGCCUGCUGGGGUGCCUUUGGUUCCAGGAUUAAUGGCCAAAUAUCUGUUGAAACAGACAAGAUGGAAUGCGUUUCCUUAGAAGUGAAAUACAGAAGGUACAAUUGCAAACCGUGCCAACAAGGAGGGAAAAAAUGAAGAGAGAACUAAAGAAACCAGAAUCGAUGUUCAAAGAAAUUUCAACGGAGCUAUGAUUGAAAAGGGCAUGGAAAUGGAAAGGGGGGGGGGAUCACCAAGGAAUGUAAACAAGUAAUCAGCAUAAGUAGGGAAAAAGUCUAACUCAGAAAAUGAGGUCAGAUGAAAAAAUGUGCCAAGAGUAGGGUCUGUGCCUGGAGAAGGUGGUGGAAUGCUAACCGGGGAUAGGCAAGAGUUAGAACAUGAUCUCCCAAAAGGAAAUGGGUAUUCUACCUGAGCAAGAUGGAGCAACUGGGGAAAUGCAACCCAAAAUGGGUAAAGAAGUGGUCCAGGAAUCCCAGUCUCCAGGGCCAGGUGAACUACAGCCAAGGGUAUUGAACUAACAGCAGUAAUCCCAGAACCACUGUCAAUCCUCUUUGUUCAUUUUUGGGAACAGGAGAAGUCCCAGCAGGCUGGAGGAGGCAAAAGUUGUCUCUGUCUCCAAGAAUGGACCAAAAAGAGGUCCCCUAACAAUGACCAUCCAGUUAUCUUGACUUGUCCCAUAAGCAGUUGGAGCAGCUGUUUAGACUCCCGAAUGUUUAUAAGGAGGAGAUCGUUUGAUGUGGAUCGAUAAUAGUUAUAGAGGGAGCGGAUCUGUUUGUUUGCUAUUAUGCACUCUUUAUCGAACCAAUUUUUGGAUCUGACCCUGGGUUGCCUUGGCAUUCUUUGCCAAUCGUAUAGUUUUUAAAAGAUAGGUUUUAUAAGGGAUUCAAACCCGGUGAUGCCUCCUCGAAAUCUGGGAUUUCAAUGAUCAUAGUUUCUAUGGACAACACUUCCUAAGAGUUCAAGAUAUCCAGGCACACCCCUUUUGUCUUAACGUUCCGCUUCAGCCUGGUGUAUUGUGGGUAGGCUUGUCCAGGUGGGGAAGUGCUGCUUCUCUCCAAAACCAGGAGAAGUGGGAGAUAGAUGAUCACUAAGCAAGGAAUUGUCUAUAGCAAAUGAAUCAAUGUCACUAGCUAUGGAGGAUGAAGUCAGAAGAUAGUCUAUGACACUAGAGCCCCUUGGUGAGACCAAUGUAUAUUCUCCAGAGUCAGGAAACUGAGUAAGUCCAUUUAGCCGAGACAGGUUGAGCUGCGUGGCCAUUUUGGUCAGGCACUUUCCGGCUUCAUUUCACGCUUGGUCCUUAGAGUGUCGAGCUUCUGGUGUCAGGAGAGAGUUGAAGGGAUCUUCCUCCAGGCCCUCUUCUCUCAACACAUUUAUUCAACUAGAUCCUACCCUUGCAUUGAAGUCACCCGUUAUCUUGACCUAAAUAACAGGAAAAAUGUUGGAGCAGAUCAUGAAGAAGGCCAUCUGGAAUCACUUGGGAAAAGUGCUGUAAUCACUGAAGGACAAGAUGAGUUUCUCCAAAACAAGUCAUGCCAGACUAAUGUACUUUUCAGUAGAGCUACAAGCUUGGUAGAGGAAGGAAAUGCAGUGGAUGUAGCACAUCUUGCUUUCAGUGAGACCUCUGGAAAGGCCUCCCAUGGUUUCACAAACAACUAGUAAAAAGUGGGCUGGAUAAUACUCCUGUUCGGAGGAUUUGUAAUGGUUUGAGCGACAAAGGGUGGAGUGUCGCAGGGUUCUGUCCUGGGCCCAGUACUGCUCAACAUGCGUAUCAGGUUUUCAGAUGACACCAAAUUAGCAGGGAUAGCUGACAGUCUAGAAGAUAGGAUCAGAAUUCAAAAUUCUGGCCUUAACAUGGUGGAGAGCUGGGCCAAAACUAACCCACUUAAUGUCAACAAGAAUAUAUGUAGAGUAGUACACUUAGGCAGGAGAGAAAUGCCAUGCACAGGUACAGGGUGGGCGACACCUGGCUUGACAGGCAUUCAUAUGAUGGGAUCUUGGAGUGUUAGAGGACUACAAGUGGAACAUGAGCCAACAAUGUGAUGCAGCAGCUGAAAGGACUAUGGGAUUUUGGGCUCCAUCCUAAGGAAUAUUGUGUCCUUCUUUCUGCUUUGGGGAGACCUCACCUGGAACAACACUGUGUCCAGUUCUGGGCACCACAAUAAAGGCUGGAACAUGCUCAGAUUCCAUUUCUGAUUCUACGUAUCAAUUGAGAAAUGGUUCUGACUGACCAACCCGUCAUCUCUAGAAAGCUUACAACUGUGGCAUGUAGGCCUUGGCCCUUUCCCUUUCAAACAACCAACAGGAAUGUAAAUCUACUUUAAAGAAUUUCUUGUUAUUCUUUUUCUUGAUCCCUCCCAUGUGAGAAGGGAAUCUUUUCUUCUUCCGCCAGGGCCCAAUCGCCUUUGAGGACGUGGCUGUGGAUUUCUCCCUGGAGGAGUGGGUUCUCCUGAAUCCGGACCAGAAAGCCUUGCACAAGCAGGUCAUGGAGGAGAUGAAUGGGAUUGUGGACUCUCUUGGUAAGGCUCCCUCACUGAUGGGGAUUUCUGUUUCAAAAGGCAGUAUUAUCCUAAAUCAUCACAGUCACUGAGGGUCUGCAAGGCAGGGCUUAUGUCAGAAAUAUGUGACAUAAGAGCAACAACAACAACAACAAUAAUAAUAUAACAUUAGUGCCAAUUCAGACUCAAGUGGGAAGAUUACCAUAACUGGAGUCAAAGCAUAUUCUCCCUCUCUCAAAUAUAUUAUAUAUUACUGUAUUUUAUAUUGUACAUUAUAUACACUAUAUAUAUGUAAUAAAUAUUAUAUUAUUAGCAUAGCAUGUUACUAGGGGGAGGGCCCCAGAGCAUCAGUUGGGCCUCCAACUGAUGGCACAGUAGACAAGAUGGAACUGUCUUCCUGGUUCCCCCUCUCUCCUAACGUUUCGCCCGUAUUUAUGGCAGGUAUCCUGAGAGGUGGGAGGUAUAUUGGAAACUAGGCUAGUGAGGUUUAUAGAUCUGUUUUUCCCAUAUACCUGACAACCUCUGAGGAUGCCUGCCAUAGAUGCAGGCAAACAUCAGGAGAGAAUACUUCUGAAACAUAGCCAUACAGCCCAGAAAACAUGGCCAUACAGCCCAGUGUUUACAAAAAACACUAACUACAUUUCUUAAUAGUCAAUGACUGGGUCUGAGCUACUCUCUGUUUCCAUCUCUUCUCGGAUUUAAAAGGGAGGGAAAAAUUCCAAGCCCUACAUCUCUCCUGAGACACAAGCAGAGAGAGGUCUCAAUGCACACAGCACACACGGAGAUAUAAAAGUCAGAAAUCUUGCACUAUUCUACAAAACUAAUCAGAAUGAGAGAAAGAGAGAAAGAAACAGAGAAAGAACAAAUAGAUACAUCCCAACUGUCAAUCAGGAGACAAGGGGGAGGGAUUCCCCCAGCCUGUUCUGAAACUAGCUCCCUGUUUCUCAUUGGGGACUGCAGACUUGAGCAGCGUGGGGUUGAAUCACAACAGAUGGAUCAGCAGCUCUUUCCUCUGGUCCAGUCUUGUCCUUCCUCCCAAACUGGGAUGGUGUGGAGGCCGUCUCUUCUCUCUCACGUGGGAUGUUACGUGGAUGCCACUCUAUCUGGCCAAGUCCUACAGACAUCCCUUUUUUGUUCCCUUUUCUGCCUUCAUCAUUGUUCUCCACCUUUUCUUUACUGUCACGGUUUUGCACGUUCACAGCUUUGUCAGGCAAAUCUAUCCCUUUGGAACUCAUAUUUACAGCCAACUUCCAUAAAGUGUAAGAGUCCCAUUUGGCAGUUGAUGGGAGAAGUGUAUCUGUAUUGUCAUGGGGCCAAUUCCCAGAGCUGAGUCUGCAAGCUCUGGAAUUGGAGCCAUAACAACAAGCACUCCUCGAUAGCUCAUGCAGACACCUGGCACCGGAGCAUGGGAACUUUUGGAGUGAGAAUCAAAACAGCUUUAAUGAAUAGUUGGUGUUGUAGUGGUAGUAAUGUGAUAUGUGGGGUGGGGUUUGGUGAUGAUAUUUACGUGUGGUGUGACGUUGUAGCAAAGGUGAUAAAAAUGAUUGUGUGUAAACAUUAUGUCAUUCUCGACUUUUCCAAAGUCGUGUGUUCUUCAAUAAAGAUUGGUUUUGAUAACA